rnacentral:rRNA from 1 species
GAUGAACGCUAGCGGCAGGCUUAAUACAUGCAAGUCGAGGGGCAGCAGGGGUGUAGCAAUACAUCUGCUGGCGACCGGCAAACGGGUGCGGAACACGUACGCAACUUACCCAUAACUGGGGAGUAGCCCGGGGAAACCCGGAUUAAUACCUCGUAAGAUAAUGGAGUGGCAUCACUUUAUUAUUAUAGCGUCCGGCGGUUAUGGAGUGGGCGUGCGGCUGAUUAGGUAGUUGGUGCGGGAACGGCCCACCAAGCCUGCGAUCAGUAACUGGUGUGAGA